GUUAGGAAUAUUCGUCAAUGGGGGAAACCCUGAACGAGCGAUGCCGCGUGAAUGAUGACAGCCCUUCGGGUUGUAAAAUUCUGUUGUUUGGAAAGAACAGAGAGAUUAGGAAAUGAGUCUCUUUUGACGGUACCAUUCAAGAAAGCUCCGGCUAACUACGUGCCAGCAGCCGCGGUAAUACGUAGGGAGCGAGCGUUAUCCGGAUUUAUUGGGUUUAAAGGGUGCGUAGGCGGCAGUUUAAGUCAGGAGUGAAAGACGGUGGCUCAACCAUCGCAGUGCUCUUGAUACUGAACUGCUUGAAUGACAUUGAAGACGGCGGAAUGAGACAAGUAGCGGUGAAAUGCAUAGAUAUCACGCAGAACUCCGAUUGCGAAGGCAGCUUACUAAGCUACAACUGACACUGAAGCACGAAAGCGUGGGGAUCAAACAGGAUUAGAAACCCGAGUAGUCC
rnacentral:rRNA from 1 species